CACUAUUCUUAAAGAGUGUAAGGGAUAACAUAUAUGGCCAAAAAUGCAAAAUAUUGGAUUGGACUGGAUCUGGAGAUAUUAUUGCAGAUGGACACUUCAUUUCAAGUGACCCACAAGAUGAGGUUCAUCAUGUUCCUCUUGGUCCAAAUGCCAUGAAAGUGGGAAUAGAUUUUGCAAGGAAACCCAAUGCAUUUCUUUGGAGGCCUACAUCUAACAUUUGCCAUAUGGAAGAUGCUAUUGGUAGUAUAAUUGCUUGGCCAUCUGAAAAAGUGAGAAUGAACUGACCAAUUGGUUGUGAUGCCAUACUUCAUAUAGUUAGGCUCUUGAGGAUCACAGAUAGAUGGAAACAAAUGGAAGGUCAUGGCACACUUUUUGAGCUCGGCAAUAGGCUUUCAAAUCUAGUGCAAAUAACAAAGCAUCAAAAUAUCUUUAGAUUUCGUUGUUCACUUUUAAAGUGAAACAUGAAAGUUUUUUCAAAUUUUAGUUAAACCUUUUAGCAAGAAGUUUAUUAUGAUGACUUUGAUUCUCUAAACUUUACUUUUUGAAAGAUGGUUCACUUAAGUGAAAUAUGUAUUUGGACCGAGUUACCUAAUAUGAUGAUAUUGACAUUUUUUAA